AACGUAGGAGACAAACGUUAUCCGGAGUUACUGGGCGUAAAGGGCUCGUAGGUGGCCAACUAAGUCAGACGUGAAAUCCCUCGGCUUAACCGGGGAACUGCGUCUGAUACUGGAUGGCUUGAGGUUGGGAGAGGGAUGCGGAAUUCCAGGUGUAGCGGUGAAAUGCGUAGAUAUCUGGAGGAACACCGGUGGCGAAGGCGGCAUCCUGGACCAAUUCUGACACUGAGGAGCGAAAGCCAGGGGAGCAAACGGG
rnacentral:rRNA from 1 species